GCCAGCCUGGCGGAAUGGUAGACGCAUCAGACUCAAAAUCUGACGGUAGCAAUACUGUGAGGGUUCAAGUCCCUUGGCUGGUACCA
rnacentral:tRNA from 1 species